rnacentral:misc_RNA from 1 species
GCAUUUUCCUCUCGUUCAGAAAUAAUAAAAAAAUCUUAUUGGCUUAUGAAAGUGGAAUUUCUAGAGGCACACUGAUGUAACCUCUGAUUAGGCAUUAAGAUGAAUUUGUAGACAAAGAAAGACUUAUUUUUGUAUCCAAUGGUACUAGCUCACAAGUCUUGGAAGGAAGACUUAUUUGUGCCUGCCCCUUCUUUGUCACCGGGGCUCUGCUAUGAUUGGAACUUGCAAUUUGCUUUUGAAGGAUAUGAAAAUUUAACAGAAAAUUUCACAAGUGCUAACUACAAAUGAAGUUUCACCUCAUCUGACUUCGAUUAUUUUGUGUUCAGGAUUGGAGAGGAGCAAUUAG